GAGAAACAUGCCUACCGAACAUCAUCUCACAUGGACUUACGCCAGUUGACUCGUGCUGGGCUGACCUAUAAGCUAACAUGAGCAAGGGUGCCUUUUGUUUCGACCUAGUUUCAACAACUGAACACUUUUGUGUAGAUUCUUCAGAUAUGGGAGACAUGGCUGCUGAGAUACCUUCUGUGGGAGCAGGGACUUUCCCGUUAUCCGCGAUGGAUCCAGCGGGACUGAAAAUUUGCUGACCUAUGGGUUUGAAAGUGACUUCCCCGGACUCUUCUAAAUCUGACAUUUCUGUGACUUUUUUUUUUUAUAGUACACUAUGAAAUUUCAAUGAUUGUAAAAUUUUGAAUUUAAUAAAGCUAACCGAGAAUGUGGAAAAUUUCUUCCCAAUCAAAGGGACUUGAUCCCACUUCUGACACCAGUGUUGCGCCUCCCACCUCGG